rnacentral:lncRNA from 1 species
CGCCUUGUGCUCAGAGCGCGUGAAAAGGUGAAGAGAUACACAGGUUUUCUUGGUUCUCUUACAAUGAGCUAAUGAGAGGUUGGGGCUUUUUUUCCUCUUUUUUAACAAGUCCCAUGGCUCGGUGUUUUUAUUUUUUAAUUACUCCAAGAUUAAUGUGCUUAAGUGUGCUUUUUAUCAUUAGCUUUGACUAGAUAUAUCUGGGUACUCAAGGAGAUCAAGUUAAAAACUGGGCCAGGACGCCAAUUAAAGACGACUUUCUCCUUCGGAGCGCGCACCGCGCCCUCUCACGCACACUCACGCGCACACCCACGACGCCCAGCACCCUGCGCCCUGAGCCCUGCAGCGGGGACCGCAGCUCUGCGCUGCUGCGACCAGGCUGGGAGCUUGCAAAAGGAGCUGGCGUUUGUUUUCUAAGUCGAAAACAGAAGAGUUAUUCAGGAAAAAUGGAUGAGCCCUUCAUAUAAAGCCACAUACAUGCAGGAACCCUGUGAAGAAAAUGCCCAUUGCCUGGCUUCUGUACCCAGUGUUGGCCUACCAAUGAAGACACGGCUGGAAAAAGUAAGUCCACAAAAACAUCUAGAUUAUUUUAGUAUUCAAAUUGUAUCUUUGAAUAAAAUC